UACGUCAGUGGCAGACGGGUGAGUAACGCGUGGGAACGUACCUUUUGGUUCGGAACAACUGAGGGAAACUUCAGCUAAUACCGGAUAAGCCCUUACGGGGAAAGAUUUAUCGCCGAAAGAUCGGCCCGCGUCUGAUUAGCUAGUUGGUGAGGUAAUGGCUCACCAAGGCGACGAUCAGUAGCUGGUCUGAGAGGAUGAUCAGCCACAUUGGGACUGAGACACGGCCCAAACUCCUACGGGAGGCAGCAGUGGGGAAUAUUGGACAAUGGGGGCAACCCUGAUCCAGCCAUGCCGCGUGAGUGAUGAAGGCCCUAGGGUUGUAAAGCUCUUUUGUGCGGGAAGAUAAUGACGGUACCGCAAGAAUAAGCCCCGGCUAACUUCGUGCCAGCAGCCGCGGUAAUACGAAGGGGGCUAGCGUUGCUCGGAAUCACUGGGCGUAAAGGGUGCGUAGGCGGGUUUCUAAGUCAGAGGUGAAAGCCUGGAGCUCAACUCCAGAACUGCCUUUGAUACU
rnacentral:rRNA from 1 species